rnacentral:rRNA from 1 species
UACGUAGGGUGCGAGCGUUGUCCGGAAUCACUGGGCGUAAAGCGCACGUAGGCGGAUUCCUAAGUCGGUGGUGAAAUCCUGGAGCUCAACUCCAGAACUGCCUCCGAUACUGAGAGUCUUCGAGUCCGGGAGAGGUGAGUGGAACUGCGAGUGUAGAGGUGAAAUUCGUAGAUAUUCGCAAGAACACCAGUGGCGAAGGCGGCUCACUGGCCCGGUACUGACGCUGAGGUGCGAAAGCGUGGGGAGCAAACAGG